AGACUCGGAGCUCCAUCCAAACCUCCAGCAAAGACAUCCCAGGUCGGGUGAAUCUUCCAUCCCCGGGGGUGGAGGUAGUAAAGGCCAUGGCCAUGCAGAAAAUCUUUGCCCGGGAAAUCUUGGACUCCAGGGGCAACCCCACAGUGGAGGUGGACCUGCACACAGCCAAGGGUAACACAAGGCCCAUUGGAUAGGCUCGCCUCAGAAGACCCCAACUCUUUGGCCUUUGCCCCCCAAUUCUGUGCCAUAUCCUCUCCUUUCUCUCAGGUUCCCUUUCCCAGACUUCUUCCCAAGCCCCCUUCUUCCAACAUGGAACCAGAGCUGGAAGCUGGGAGAAGCAGGAGUCUGUCUCUGCACUGCCUCCCGUCCCUGAGCUCGGAGAGGACACCUCAGCCCUUUGAGGGGUAGAGAGACUCCCUGUGAGGUCCUUUUUUUUUUUUUUUUUUGAGAUGGAGUCUCGCUCUGUGGCCCGGGCUGGAGUGCAGUGGUGCAAUCUCAGCUCACUGCAACCUCUGCCU
rnacentral:sRNA from 1 species